CCUACGGGAGGCAGCAGUGGGGAAUUUUCCGCAAUGGGCGAAAGCCUGACGGAGCAACGCCGCGUGGGUGAUGAAGUAUUUCGGUACGUAAAACCCUUUCAGCAGGGACGAACACAAUGACGGUACCUGCAGAAGAAGCAUCGGCUAACUACGUGCCAGCAGCCGCGGUAAUACGUAGGAUGCAAGCGUUGUCCGGAUUUAUUGGGCGUAAAGCGAACGUAGGCGGUUUCUUAAGUUUGGUCUUAAAGACUGGGGCUCAACCCCAGGAAUGGACUGAAUACUGGGAGACUAGAGGAUGUUAGAGGAAAGUGGAAUUCCAAGUGUAGCGGUGAAAUGCGUAGAUAUUUGGAGGAACACCAGUGGCGAAAGCGGCUUUCUGGGACAUUCCUGACGCUGAGGUUCGAAAGCUCGGGGAGCAAACAGGAUUAGAUACCCUGGUAGUCCGAGCCGUAAACGAUGGACACUAGGUGUCGGGGGUAUCGACCCCCCGGUGCCGUAGCUAACGCGUUAAAGUGUCCCGCCUGGGGGAGGUACGGUCGCGAGACGUAGAACUACAAAGAAAGUAGUACGGCGUGAGACGUGCCGAACGGAACGACGACGAGGGGAGUAGG
rnacentral:rRNA from 1 species